CCUACGGGAGGCAGCAGUGGGGAAUUUUGGACAAUGGGCGCAAGCCUGAUCCAGCCAUGCCGCGUGCGGGAAGAAGGCCUUCGGGUUGUAAACCGCUUUUGUCAGGGAAGAAAUCCUUUGAGAUAAUACCUCGGAGGGAUGACGGUACCUGAAGAAUAAGCACCGGCUAACUACGUGCCAGCAGCCGCGGUAAUACGUAGGGUGCGAGCGUUAAUCGGAAUUACUGGGCGUAAAGCGUGCGCAGGCGGUCUUGCAAGACAGAUGUGAAAUCCCCGGGCUCAACCUGGGAACUGCAUUUGUGACUGCAAGGCUAGAGUACGGUAGAGGGGGAUGGAAUUCCGCGUGUAGCAGUGAAAUGCGUAGAUAUGCGGAGGAACACCGAUGGCGAAGGCAAUCCCCUGGACCUGUACUGACGCUCAUGCACGAAAGCGUGGGGAGCAAACAGGAUUAGAUACCCUGGUAGUCCAGCCCUAAACCGAUGUCAAACUGGUUNUUGGACGGCUUGCUGUUCAGUUAACCGAAGCUUAACGCGUGAAGUUGACCGCCUGGGGAUACGGCGCAAGGUUGAAACCUNAANAGAUGAGNGNGAGAGNGCGAGAGACACGAGGGAGAGG
rnacentral:rRNA from 1 species